GAUGAACGCUGGCGGCAUGCCUAAUACAUGCAAGUCGAACGGAGCACUUCGGUGCUCAGUGGCGAACGGGUGAGUAACACGUAGACAACCUGCCUGUGAGACUGGGAUAAUCACUGGAAACGGUGACUAAUACCGGAUAGGUACAACGGAGGCAUCUCUGAUGUAUUAAAGUCGGGACACGACGCUGACAGAUGGAUCUGCGGUGCAUUAGCUAGUUGGUGAGGUAACGGCCCACCAAGGCGAUGAUGCAUAGCCGGCCUGAGAGGGUGAACAGCCACAUUGGGACUGAGACACGGCCCAAACUCCUACGGGAGGCAGCAGUAGGGAAUUUUCGGGCAAUGGGGGGAACCCUGACCGAGCAAUGCCGCGUGAGUGAAGACGGCCU
rnacentral:rRNA from 1 species